GAUUGCCCAACCCCAAGCUUGUCUUUUUUCAAAUUGAUCAGUGCAAAAAUAUGAGGUCUCUACCCAAUCAGAUGCAAAACCUUACUUCCCUUCAAUCUUUAAAUAUAUCAGAUUGUAGAGGUAUGGAGUCCUUAAUAGAAGUUGUUUACCACCACAACUAACUGAGCUUUAUGUUGGUGAAUGCAUGAAUCUAAAACAGCCAAUGCCAGAGUGGGGACUCCACAGACUCGCCUCUCUUAGAAAAUUGGCCAUUGGGAGCAUGAAGUCAACUGGAGAUAUUAUUUCCUUCCCUUCACAGACUCACGACGGCUUACUGCUUCCCCCUUCUCUUAACUCCCUCUACAUCGCUGAAUUCAAGAAUCUAAAAUCCAUAUCAAUGGGUAUCCAAAACCUUACCUCUCUUAAAGAAUUUGAAAUUUUCUUGUGCCCAAAUCUCCAGUCCUUCCCAGCUGAGGGC
rnacentral:misc_RNA from 1 species